GAGCUUGCUCCCUGUAUGUCGGCGGCGGAGGGGUGAGUAACACGUGGGUAACCUGCCUGUAAAACUGGGAUAACUCCGGGAAACCGGGGCUAAAACCGGAUGCUUGAUUGAACCGCAGGGUUCAUUUAUAAGAGGGGGCUUUGACUAUCAAUUAAAAGAUGACCCCGGGCCCAAUAACUUGUUGGGGAGGUAACCGCCCCCCCAGGGCACCAUUCGUAACCCACCUUAAAGGGGGAACGGCCACCCUGGGACUGAAACCCGGCCCAAAACCCCACCGGGGGGAGCAAUAGGGAAUUUUCCCCAAUGGAACAAAGUCUUAACGAACCCCCGCCCGGGGGUUAAUAAGGUUUUCGGAACGUAAAAUUUUUUUUUUAGGGAAAAAAGUUCCGGUCCAAUAGGGGGGUCCUUGGCCGUUCUAAACCAAAAGCCCGGCCAAAUUCCUGGCAACCCCCCCGGAAUUCAAAGUGGAGCCGUUCCGGAAUUUGGGCGAUAGGGGGGCCAGGGCUUUCCUUAUUCAGAAUGGAGCCCCCGUUCCACCGGGAUGACAAUGAAACUGGAGAACUUGAUGCAAAGAGAAGUAGAUUUCCCCGUGUAGCGUUAAUGCUAGAGUAUGGAGAUACCGUGACAACGCGACCUAUGCUCUGUCACGAUUCUGAGCGCGAGGCGUGAAGAACAAAAUAUAAGAUCCUGCUAAUUCAGCAUUACAGUAAGCUUAAGGUCAAGAAUGCGCAAUAGGGGUCAGAGCCAGCCCUCUAGUGAUGCAGCAAACGCUAAAGCACUCCGCCUGGGGAGUACGGUCGCAAGAUGAAACUCAAAGGAAGGAGGGGGGCCCGCCCAAGCGGGGGAGCAUGUGGUUUAUUUGGAAGCAACGCGAAGAACCUAACCAGGUCGGACAUCCUCUGACAACCCAAGAGAUAGGGAUUCCCCUUCGGGGGCAGAGUGACAGGUGGUGCAUGGUGGUGGUCAGCUCGGGUCGUGAGAUGUGGGGUUAAGUCCCGCAACGAGCGCAACCCUUGAUUUUAGUGGCCAGCAUUCAGUCGGGCACUCUAAGGUGACUGCCGGUGACAAACCGGAGGAAGGUGGGGAUGACGUCAAAUCAUCAUGCCCCUUAUGACCUGGGCUACACACGUGCUACAAUGGGCAGAACAAAGGGCAGCGAAGCCGCGAGGGUAAGCCAAUCCCACAAAUCUGUUCUCAGUUCGGAUCGCAGUCUGCAACUCGACUGCGUGAAGCGGAAUCGCUGUAAUCGCGGAUCAGCAUGCCGCGGUGAAUACGUUCCCGGGCCUGUACACACCGCCCGUCUACACCACGAGAGUGAGUGUACACCACGAAGUACGGUG
rnacentral:rRNA from 1 species